rnacentral:rRNA from 1 species
CGGCCAGACUCCUACGGGAGGCAGCAGUGAGGCCUCUUGGUCAAUGGUCGGGAGCCUGCCCCCGCCAAGCCGCGUGCGGGAUGAAGGUCCCGCGUCUCGUCCCCCUCUUUUGUCCGGGCCCAAAGGCGGGGCCGUGUCCCCGGCUGCGUGUACCUGACGAAAAAGCAUCGGCUCACUCCGUGCCAGCAGCCGCGGUAAUACGGCGGAUGCGAGCGUUCUCCGGAUUUAUUGGGUUUAAAGGGGGCGCAGGCGGGCUGGUAGGUCGGGGGUAAAGGCCGGGGGCUCAACCCCGGGGAGCCGUUGAAACUGGCGGGCUGGAGUUGGAGAGAAGUACGCGGAAUGCGCGGUGUAGCGGUGAAAUGCGGAGAUAUCGCGCAGAACCCCGAUUGCGAAGGCAGCGUACCGGCGCCACACUGACGCUGAGGCACGAAAGCGUGGGUAUCGAACAGGAUUAGCUACCCUCGUA